rnacentral:rRNA from 1 species
ACACGACUACAUUAGAUACCCGAGUAGUCCUAGCCGUAAACGAUACUCGCUAGGUGUCGGCCACGGUGCGACCGUUGUCGGUGCCGUAGGGAAGCCGUGAAGCGAGCCACCUGGGAAGUACGGCCGCAAGGCUGAAACUUAAAGGAAUUGGCGGGGGAGCACAACAACGGGUGGAGCUUGCGGUUUAAUUGGAUUCAACGCCGGAAAUCUUACCGGGACCGACAGCAACAUGAAGGCCAAGCUGAAGACUUUGCCGGAUUAGCUG